GACGAACGCUGGCGGCGUGCUUAACACAUGCAAGUCGAACGGAAAGGCCCUGCUUUUGUGGGGUGCUCGAGUGGCGAACGGGUGAGUAACACGUGAGUAACCUGCCCUUGACUUUGGGAUAACUUCAGGAAACUGGGGCUAAUACCGGAUAGGAGCUCCUGCUGCAUGGUGGGGGUUGGAAAGUUUCGGCGGUUGGGGAUGGACUCGCGGCUUAUCAGCUUGUUGGUGGGGUAGUGGCUUACCAAGGCUUUGACGGGUAGCCGGCCUGAGAGGGUGACCGGCCACAUGGGGACUGAGAUACGGCCCAGAAUCCUACGGGAGGCAGCAGGGGGGAAUAUUGCACAAUGGGCGGAAGCCUGAUGCAGCAACGCCGCGUGCGGGAUGACGGCCUUCGGGUUGUAAACCGCUUUCGCCUGUGACGAAGCGUGAGUGACGGUAAUGGGUAAAGAAGCACCGGCUAACUACGUG
rnacentral:rRNA from 1 species